UAUGAUUCCCUCAGUAACGGCGAGCGAAGAGGGAUAAGCUCAAAUUUUAAAUCUGUUGGGUUCCACUUAACAGAGUUGUAUUUUGAAGAAACGUUUUCUGCGUCCAGGAUUAGCCUAAAUCCUUUGGGAUAAGGUAUCAUGGAGGGUGAGAAUCCCGUUCAUGGUUAAUCUUAAGGAAGCUCUACGAUACGUUUUCCAAGAGUCGAGUUGUUUGGGAUUGCAGCUCAAAAUGGGAGGUAAAUUUCUCCUAAGGCUAAAUAUUGGCGAGAGACCGAUAGCGAACAAGUACCGUGAGGGAAAGAUGAAAAGAACUUUGAAAAGAGAGUUAAACAGUACGUGAAAUUGUUGAAAGGGAAACGAUUGAAGUCAGUCAUACCAACGGGAAAUCAACCUUUUGAGCUCGGUCUCGUGGGUUUUGAAGAGUUUCAAAGCCUUCGGAUUCGCGGGAUUGGGAUCUCUUGGUGUACUUUUUCGUACGGUUAGUCAACAUCGGUUUUGAAUGUCAUAAAAUGACUGGAGGAAUGUAGCUUCGAUCUCGUAUUGAAGUGUUAUAGCCUUUGGUAGAUGUGAUGUUUGAGACCGAGGAUUGCAACGGAUACCCUUCAGGGCUAUUCGUCUGAUCUCUGAUACGUUGCCUUGAUGUUGAAAGCUUGCUUAUGAUGUUAGGGUAUUACGGUCAAAAGGUUAGAACGAAUUACAUUCGUUAAGGAUGUUGACGUAAUGACUUUAAACGACCCGUCUUGAAACACGGACCAAGGAGUCUAACAUAUGUGCGAGUGUU
rnacentral:rRNA from 1 species